rnacentral:rRNA from 1 species
UACGUAGGGUGCAAGCGUUAAUCGGAAUUACUGGGCGUAAAGCGUGCGCAGGCGGUUGUGUAAGACAGAUGUGAAAUCCCCGGGCUCAACCUGGGAACUGCAUUUGUGACUGCACGGCUCGAGUGCGGCAGAGGGGGAUGGAAUUCCGCGUGUAGCAGUGAAAUGCGUAGAUAUGCGGAGGAACACCGAUGGCGAAGGCAAUCCCCUGGGCCUGCACUGACGCUCAUGCACGAA